AACGAACGCUGGCGGCAUGCCUAACACAUGCAAGUCGAACGAGACCUUCGGGUCUAGUGGCGCACGGGUGCGUAACGCGUGGGAACCUGCCCUUAGGUUCGGAAUAACUCCCCGAAAGGGGUGCUAAUACCGGAUAAUGUCUUCGGACCAAAGAUUUAUCGCCUUUGGAUGGGCCCGCGUUGGAUUAGCUAGUUGGUAGGGUAAAAGCCUACCAAGGCGACGAUCCAUAGCUGGUCUGAGAGGAUGAUCAGCCACACUGAGACUGAGACACGGCCCAGACUCCUACGGGAAGCAGCAGUGGGGAAUAUUGGACAAUGGGCGAAAGCCUGAUCCAGCAAUGCCGCGUGAGUGAUGAAGGCCUUAGGGUUGUAAAGCUCUUUUACCCGGGAUGAUAAUGACAGUACCGGGAGAAUAAGCUCCGGCUAACUCCGUG
rnacentral:rRNA from 1 species